rnacentral:rRNA from 1 species
GACGAACGCUGGCGGCGUGCUUAACACAUGCAAGUCGAACGGUGAAGCGCCUUCCUUUUUGGUGGGUGUGGAUGAGUGGCGAACGGGUGAGUAACACGUGAGUAACCUGCCCCCUUCUUCUGGAUAACCGCAUGAAAGUGUGGCUAAUACGGGAUAUUCUGGGUCUGUCGCAUGAUGGGUCUGGGAAAGAUAUUGUUUCGGUGGGGGAUGGGCUCGCGGCCUAUCAGCUUGUUGGUGGGGUGAUGGCCUACCAAGGCGGUGACGGGUAGCCGGCCUGAGAGGGUGGACGGUCACACGGGGACUGAGACACGGCCCAGACUCCUACGGGAGGCAGCAGUGGGGAAUAUUGCACAAUGGGCGCAAGCCUGAUGCAGCGACGCCGCGUGAGGGAUGGAGGCCUUCGGGUUGUGAACCUCUUUCGCCAGUGAAGCAGGCCUGCCUCGUUUGUGGGUGGGUUGACGGUAGCUGGAGAAGAAGCGCCGGCUAACUACGUG